rnacentral:siRNA from 1 species
UAACUCGACGGAUCGCAUGGCCU